rnacentral:sRNA from 1 species
AGAGGCUCAUUCGGGAGUACAUCACCGGUGGACGGUUGAGUAACACGUAGGUGACGUGCCCCGAAGUGUGGGCUAACAGUCCGAAAGGAUUGCUAAUACCGCAUGGUGGUGUGCGUGCUUAGAGUGAGCAGAUUAAAGCUGACCCCCAAGGGUCAUGCGUUUCGGGAGGGGCCCGCGCCCCAUCAGCUUGUUGGUAGGGUAAUGGCCUACCAAGGCAACAACGGGUAGGGGGCCUGAGAGGGGGAACCCCCACAUUGGCACUGACACACGGGCCAAACUCCUACGGGAUGCAGCAGUGGGAGACCUACGGGAGGCAGCUUUC